GACGAACGCUGGCGGCGUGCUUAACACAUGCAAGUCGAACGUGAUUUUUAAGGAAAGCCCUUCGGGGUGGGAAUUAAAAUGAAAGUGGCGAACGGGCGAGUAACACGUGAGCAACCUACCUUACACAGGGGGAUAGCCGUUGGAAACGACGAUUAAUACCGCAUGAGACCACAGAAUCGCAUGAUAUAGGGGUCAAAGAUUUAUCGGUGUAAGAAGGGCUCGCGUCUGAUUAGCUAGUUGGAAGGGUAAAGGCCUACCAAGGCGACGAUCAGUAGCCGGUCUGAGAGGAUGAACGGCCACAUUGGAACUGAGACACGGUCCAAACUCCUACGGGAGGCAGCAGUGGGGAAUAUUGCACAAUGGGGGGAACCCUGAUGCAGCGACGCCGCGUGAGCGAAGAAGGUUUUCGAAUCGUAAAGCUCUGUCCUANGAGAAGAUAA
rnacentral:rRNA from 1 species